CGAACGGGUGAGUAAUGCGUGACCAACCUCGCCCCAUGCUCCAGAAUAGCUCUUGGAAACGGGUGGUAAUGCUGGAUGCUCCAACUUGACGCAUGUCUUGUUGGGAAGUGUUUAGUGGCAUGGGAUGGGGUCGCGUCCUAUCAGCUUGUAGGCGGGGGUAAUGGCCCACCUAGGCUUCGACGGGUAGCCGGCCUGAGAGGGCGGACGGCCACAUUGGGACUGAGAUACGGCCCAGACUCCUACGGGAGGCAGCAGUU
rnacentral:rRNA from 1 species